UCCCUGGGGCGGGGCUAAGCGUGGCUUCCGCCGGAAACCUAGAAUCCAGGCGAAAAUCAAGCUCUGGACUUGCUGUCUGGGUGGUGCUACUGGCUCUUUCUCGUUUCCCGUUUCCAAGUUUAGGUUUUCACGCCCACCUCUAAGAAGGUCUUGAGACCCCACGCCACCCCCCACAUUCCAGUUUCGGCAGCAAAUUACUGCAGAACCUGAAGCCAGGGAAGGAACCUGUUUCCGUCCUCACCUCCCACAGUCUCCUGUCCUUCUCCCCGCCCCCUGACCAUGGCCCAGAAGCCGAAGGUAGACCCCCACGUCGGGCGCCUGGGAUACCUGCAGGCUCUGGUUACGGAAUUCCAGGAGACGGAGAGCCAGGACGCCAAGGAGCAAGUACUGGCCAACCUCGCCAACUUCGCCUAUGAUCCCAGUAACUACCCGUAUCUUCGGCAGCUGCAAGUUCUUGAUUUGUUCCUCGAUUCCCUGUCGGAGGAGAAUGAAACCCUGGUGGAGUUUGCAAUUGGAGGCCUCUGCAACCUGUGCCCAGACAGGGCGAACAAAGAGCACAUCCUGCAGACAGGGGGCAUCCCACUCAUCAUCAACUGCCUGUCCAGUCCCAACGAGGAGACCGUGCUAUCUGCUGUGACCACGAUCAUGUACCUGAGCUCCCCGGGCUCCCCCCCUGAGCUGACCGCCAUGCCCGUGGUCCAGUGCAUGCUGCGCUUCUCUCUCUCAGCCAACACGAGGCUCCGCAACCUGGCCCAGAUCUUCCUGGAAGACUUCUGUUCCCCAAGCCAGGUGGCGGAGGCCCGCACCUGGCAGGCCCACUCUGCCCUGGGGAUCCCGCUGCCAAGGACUGAGGCCCCACAGCAGCCCAGACCCAGGGAGACCUCGCAGCCAUGACGCCCUGACUGCUAGAGAUGAGGCCACAGUCCUGGUGGGGGCUCGGGGAGCAGGAGCAGCCUGGCUCCCGCUGUGCAUUUUUCCCCAAAGGUGCCAUUUCGGCUAUUUUAAAGAUCCUCGUCCCUCUUUCUUUGGAGUCCUCUUCUGUAACCUCACACCACUGAGAGGCACCUUGCAAGAUGAAAGGACUUAAAAUCUUACAUGUUACUGCCCAGCACAAAGGAGUUCGCACGUGAUCUUUGCAGAUCAUUCCCCUACUAGCCUAAAUUUAUAAUGUGCUUAUGGAGCCAGGAAAAUGUUACUGCAGAAACAAGUGGAGAAUUCGGUGAGAUUACAGAAGAAGGAAAGGUAAGAAGUAAACACAAGGACAAAGCUCUAGUCCUGAGAUCACAGUAUGGGAGGGAAACUGAUGACAAAAGGUGAAUGAAAACAUUUAUUGUGCAAAACAAAACAAAAAAAAAAUCACUCCUGUCUCACAUUUCCAAUAUACAUAUCAAAAAACUAGCAUGAGGAUUCAUUUGACCUGGUUACUGAAAUUCUUUAUGAAGCACUAAACAGAACUUAACCCCAAAAGAUAAUACCUGAUUUUUUUACAUAAUGUGUCGAUUUUCACAUUCCAAUCACUACAGUCUGACCAGCACAAAGUUGACCACAUGGCACAAAAGAAAAACCAAGGUUCAGUGUGUUCCAGAGCCCUCUGAAAAAAAUGAUCUCAUUGCAAAGAUGACAACAGAAGAGGGAGUGACCAGUAUUUUCAUAGGUCUGUCCUAAUCAAGGUCCCCAACCUGCCAGGACCAACCAAUUUAUAGUUUUUUAAAUCUUUCCCACUCUUUUCCACAUUGUAUAAGGGAAAGGAAUGAGUUGAAAAGGGAUGUCAACCUCCCGCCCAAGACUCACUGCUGAGCCCAGUUUUUUGUCCCCAAGUUCUCCAACCCCGGUGAAGCACUAUUUCACAGCCGUCUUCUUAGCCCCACAAAAUGGCUCCCUUUGUGCCACUUGCCCAGGACCCCAAGGCUGGUCGCACACGACAGCAGGUCGUGAUCCAUGAAGAACAGAUGCCCAGAAAAAGUGGAACCUAAGCUUCCUACAAGCCUUGAGCAGGAUCCCAGAAAUGUCUGUAUCCACCUUAAAAGAACAGCGUGCAAUUAGCCGAGACAAUGUGGACACCUUCCACCGAUUACAGACCCUUCCACCAAGUCAGGCAAGGGCUUGGAAAAGGGUUCCAGUCCAAACACCCAGUGUCCUCUUCCCCCAAUGCUGUAGCAAGACUGGCCAGAAAGGCCCUGGCUUCCCAGGUGGAGACAGUACGGAAGAGACAAUGGAUGUCUCCGGCCCCGCCCAAGAACAGGAAACCUCCUCCAGCUCGGGAACCCGGGCCAGCGACGAACUCAUUUGGCGAACGUCAAAGGGGGAAGGGAAAGAGGUGGGAUGCAAAGACCGAGGUCCGAAGGUUUGAGCGCAGAAAACCCACUCGGACUGGCUCACCGCCCCCCCUUUCGCAUUCGGAGGUGGGCGCGGGAGGGGAAGGAGCAGGGGUCUUUCCUUUGUUAGCGGAGGGGAAGCACUUCGCGGAGGACUGACGGCUGGGUCCCGGACCGGCGUGGGGGUCGCAGUGACCAGCCCCGCCCGACCACAAAUGCCACCUGCCGGGCGGGCCCCAGCGGGUAGGAGCCCGCAAGACUCGAUCGCUGCGGCCGCAAGAGGUGACAGCCGCGCCGGGCGCGGGGCCGCCACCUGCCCCGGGCUAGAGGCAUAAGCGCGUGGCCAGGGGUGGGACAAUGGGGCCUGACCGGGGCGCCCCGGGGGCUGCCCAAGUACCU